rnacentral:rRNA from 1 species
GACGAACGCUGGCGGCGUGCUUAACACAUGCAAGUCGAACGGAAAGGCCCUGCUUUUGUGGGGUGCUCGAGUGGCGAACGGGUGAGUAACACGUGAGUAACCUGCCCUUGACUUUGGGAUAACUUCAGGAAACGGGGGCGAAUACCGGAUAGGAGCUCCUGCUGCAUGGUGGGGGUUGGAAAGUUUCGGCGGUUGGGGAUGGACUCGCGGCUUAUCAGCUUGUUGGUGGGGUAGUGGCUUACCAAGGCUUUGACGGGUAGCCGGCCUGAGAGGGUGGCCGGCCACCAUGGGACUGAGAUACGGACCAGAAUGCAACGGGAGGCAGCAGUGGGGAAUAUGGCAGAAUGGGCGGAAGCCUGAUGAAGCAACGCCGCGUGCGGGAUGACGGCCUUCGGGUUGUAAACCGCUUUCGCCUGUGACGAAGCGUGAGUGACGGUAAUGGGUAAAGAAGCACCGGCUAACUACGUG